GAAAAGGGCACUUGCCGUCAGUGGCACGCGUUUGUUUCUGUAGAGGAACUUCGUGCGGAAUCGCCAUCAAGAGAUUUCGAGUGUAUAAUCUUUUGAACCGUGGGCUGUUGGUUUCGCUUAAACCGGCGCCCCU